AGUAGAGGUUAGGUUACUUCUACCUGGAAAUUAAUCAGAAAAUUCAUUUUGCCCUUUGAUGUUGCUUGUCUGCACACACACGCCCUCGCUCCCACCUCUACCUUUUAUCUUCUUAAAAUCCUAAAGCUCCCUUUCAUGCGUUGUAGUAGUUUAAAGGAAUUUAAAGUUGUGGAUUUCUAUAUUUAUGUAAUUAUAUACUUAAAAUAUAAUAGGGUAGGGUAAAGUGUUUUUAAAAGAUGUGACACUUUAAAGAAAAUCACAGAUAUCAUAAGUGACUUUAAUAUAUUGGCAAAUUUCAGGCUACAUUCUUAGUCAUAUUUCUGCUAGAAGAAACCUACUUUCCAUUUUGUGUUUUCUCAUUUGCAUUACUGCAAAGUUAUUCAUGCAUAUGAAAAGGGUAUUAUUCAUCUCCAUAUUCCUUUCUCUCCAUAUUCCAAACCCAGUGUGCUUGUGAGUUAUACAUAAACACUGCUGUACCUCUAUAUUUAUGCAUAUGUAUCUAUGUGAUUCAAAUUUGGCAUCACAACUGGAUAGCAAGCCCAAGUGAUAACAUUAUGUACUAGAGGUGUCUUAUCACAUCAUUAAUGACAUAUCAAAAUUGUCAAUUAUGUUGAAAUCCAAUAAUUGUAACUGACAAGCUUUAGCAUGACUUGUCUCCACUGGGAAGGAUUAUAAAAGAGAGAGAGAGAAAGGAAUGUACUUUUGAAUCCCCCCUCUAAGUGCAUGUAACUGUAUGGUAAGCUCUUAUUAUUUCUACAAAUAAUUUUACUGAGAUGCUAUUUUCACAUUAUUCAUGGUACCUGGCUAGUGAAGUAUUUAUGUUCCUAAGCCUCAUUAUCUCCUAAAUUCAGAAAUCCAUUGCUAUUUCAGAAAGAACCACAAACUUGAACUGGCAAGAAGAAAAAUGACCAACCUGGCAGGGCUUGUCUCCCUCUAAUGUAUGAUUCUUCUUAACUCCAUAUUCCAGGAAAUUAUUCACUUGGAAGUUUAGAGUUCACGGAAAACAACUAUUUCUCUUCUACUCUCCAGUUCUACUUCUACCCAUUAGAAAAGCAAACAGUAUUGCUUAAUUCCAAAGAAGUUUGCUCUCAAAAAUAUCUUGGCAUUUGGCAAUAAGAGGAAAAGAAAGUGACAGUGAACUUCAUGGACACAGAAUUCAUUCUUUACAGUGACGAGGUAUUCAAGAAUCCUCACUCUUUGUGUCCUGUUUUAUCUGUAUUUGGGGAUGGUAUCUAAGAGGAGAAAAGGGAAGCUUAUGGGUUUUUUUUUUUCCUUUAAAAUAUAUUUCCAUUUACCAAUGGAUUAUUUUAAGCCCAGAGAAAAUUAUGAUUGCAUUAUUCUUUUCAGUAAUCAUGGCAGGUAUUAAAGUGAACAGACAAUGGUAGCGUAUAUGGAAUAACCUGGUUUUCUAGACAGACCCACUUGUCCAAGAUCAAACGGCUACAGCACAUUUAGGGUUACAGUCUCCUUCCCUUCCUCCUCUUUCUCAACCGCAGUGGAGCUUUUUCCAGUGUUGCCAUGGUAACACUAUAUCUGGCUGCUAGCUCUGUCGUAAGUUAUUGAACUGAGACUGGCUUUUGGUUUAGCAGAUAAUUAGGUUCUGUCUCACAGGUUCAUUUUCCUGUGACUGGGACGUGAAUAUGACCUACAGCUGGCCUCAAUUUCAGUGUCACAGACAAAACUUUAACCCUUCCCAAGCUCCCAAGGUACUCUCUUAAGCCUUGCUUGUGAAGUAGAGGAAGUCCAUUGCAGCCCACAUACACCUUGAAGAGGAUUACCAAGUCCUCAUUUUAUUUUUUUUUUGUCUUCAUGCGAACACCAAGGAAAAUAUGAUCAAGACUGUAUACCUAGAGCAUUUUCAAAAUUUAAAAUAUAUCAACAAUAAUGUAUAUGUGCUUAUGUAUUUAACAUGUAACAUAUAGAACUUUCUCUAGGUGUUUUCAUUUCCCUGCUUCUUCAAUAAUUUUUUAAGUCACGUCAAAGUGUCUUGUACUGCAUUUUGGUUUGGAUUCCAGAGCAUUUAGAUUUGAAAACCCCGUUAUCAGAAUAUUAACUUGCUACCCUUAUUCUCAGCUUCCAGAACUUUCUGCCCGUUGAUUCAUGCCCCUCCUUCUCCUUUUUAUAAGCCCUAGAUUUUUGCUGACAUUGAAAGGUUCCUUUGGAGUCCCAGGCAGGUCUCUGCUACAGGAAACAAUGCCACCACUCUAUGAAAUGCCCAAAUGAUCACUCAGGGCUUAAAACUUGCUGGUUUGGAAAAUUAGCAAAGCUCUGCCCUUUGUUUAGGACAAAGAAAGAAGCCUAACUUUUAGAACAAAUAUUGAUUUCACAAUCCCACAGCAACAGAGAGCCUGCAUGGUUAAUAUGAGAGGGCAUGUCUUUCUAUGUCAAACAAUAGGAAAGACCUUCAAGGAAAUCUGUUUGAAAAAUUUAGUGUAUUUUACCUAAAAGCUUCCCAUGAAAAGGUAAGACAGGAACAAGGGAAGUUGAGUUCACCAUCAUUAAAACAUGAAUUAAGUUUCUCCAUUGGCUAGAGAAUCACAUAACUAUGUCAAGAGAGAUAGGAAAGACCUACAGCACGUUGAAGACUCAAGGGUUGGAAGCUGGAGCUAGGAUUGUGUGUGUGUGUGUGUGUGUGUGUGGUGUGUGUGUGUGUGUUCGCGCGCGCGCAUGUGCGUGCCCAUGUAUACCACAUAGACUAUAUUGUUUUAAUCCAUUCCUUCCAUCCUCAAACUCUAACUUGGAAGAGCAUCUUGAAUGGCAGCAGCCUCAAGUCCUGGGUAAGAGCUGUCAUGAACCUGGUAUGGUCCAAUGAAUUCAGUGGACUUAGUGGAAUGGGUUGAGGUUAGGAUGGGGGGAGUUUGUAUGAAGCAAGACAGAGAGCUGAUCUGUGAGAAACUGGUUAUUGGCAGUUAUUUUCCACUAAACUGAGCUUCUUUUAACUUUUAAUCUCAAGUACAUAGCACUUGAUGUUUUCUUAUUAAUUAUCAAUGUGUUCAUUGAAUGAAUGAAUGUAUGAAUUCUUCCCCACUCUCUUCUAUGUAGUAAAAAUUAAAUUAGUAGCCAGUUAAAAGAUGACUUAGGAAGUCCACAACAGUUUUCUUUUCUUUUUUUAAAUUUUAUUUAUUUUUUAUUUUUUUAAUUGUUACUUCCCAAUACAAUUUUUUUUUUCUACUGUACAGAAUUGUGACCCAGUUACACAUAUAUGUAUACAUUCUUUUUUUCUAAUCACUUAGGAUGGAGCAUAAUAAUGUGAGAAAAAAUAAUUUUCUUUUCUUUUUCUUUUCUUUUUUUGUUUUCUUUUGCUUUUUGGGGCUGCAUGCAUGGCAUAGAGGUCAAAUUGGAGCUACAUCUACUGGCCUAUACCACAGCCACAGCAAUGCAGGAUCUGAGCCGCAUCUGUGACCUACACUACAGCUCAGGGCAAUGCCAGAUCCUUAACCCACUAAAUGAGGCCAGGGAUCAAAUCUGCAUCCUCAUGGACCCUAGUCGGGUUAGUUACCACAAGCCAUGAUGGGAACUCCCCACAAGCAUUUUCAAUGCGAAGUCCUUUUAACAGUCUUCUCAUGAUUUCUAGCAACUCCUAAGCCCAUCAUAUGAAUGCCAUCUCUUGCCUGCCCCAUUGCCAUAGCUUUGUAACUGAUCUUCUUCCCUCUCAUUACCUACUAUAGUCUCUACUGUGCACAAAAGACAGAGGUUCACUUAAAAUGCAUAUCACUUGCAUUUCACCCUCCUCACAACUUCCCAGUGUCAUUCCACUAGACUAGCAUACAUACUCCUUACUGAGUUCACAAGGCCCUAGGUGAACUUGCCCUUGGCUACCUUGCUGACAUCACUACCCUCUUUUCACUCUCCCCCUUGCCUUUCCUCAAGCACCUGUGCACAUGCCCAUGGAGAGCCUUAGCCUUUGCUAUUCCCUCUUCCAGUAAUACAUGACUCAUUCCUCUACUUGCUUCUAGUCUCCCUGCACAAAUGUCACCUCCUUAAAAAUGCUUUUCCUAAACAUCUUAAAAAGCAUCCCAUUCAUUGUCCAAAUCAUUCCUGCUUUAAGUUUUCUUCAUGAUGCUUAUCAUUUCUUCUUAGGAUAUUAGGCAAUAAGCAAAUAAGUAUAUGCCUUUCCCAUUAAAAUAUAAUCUCCCUGUGGGAAGGAGCUAUGCUUUUUGGUGAGUGUACCUCUAAUGCCUACAGCCUAGUGGGUUGAAUCCUAGCAGCCUUUAAUAAAUAUUUGUUAGUGAGUAAGUUAAUGAAUGAUUGAAUGAAGAGAUCCAGGUAUAGAGUCUGGGUAUCCCAACCUAUGUGGGACCAAGAACAAGUGUUCCCAACAUGAUGGAUGAAAUCUCCUCCUAUAUGGUGAAAUUGCAUGAAUAGGUACAAUAACAUUUAGGAACAUAGCUUAUAUUUCGCAGGUCUCUUCAUUAGAUUGAGGUAAAAGAAGGCCUUACAUGAAUUAGACUCAAGAUGAAGCAUCGUCCAUAUACCAAACACAUUGCAACUGGUCACUCCUAGACGACUUUUCCUGUGAAGGACCCAAUAAUAAAUAGUUUUGGCUCUGAGGGCCGUACAAUCUGUGUCACAGCUUUUCAGCUCUUCUGUUGGGGUGUGAAAGCAGCCACAGACAACACAUAAACAAAUGGGUGUGGCUGUGUUCCAGUAUCAUGUUACUUCUGAAAACAGGGAAUCAGCCACUUUCAGGACACAGGCCAGAGUUUCCUAACCCUGAGGUAGAGCUUUCCCCUGAUUCCUCUUUCUGCCAGGUUAUUGAGAGAAUGCCUGAAGGACCAUGGCUUUCUCAACUGAUUCUUUCAAGAAAUGAAACAAAUUGGUGGGUGGCUUGUGGGGGCAACAUCCCUGAGACUGUUUUCUUCCUUUCUCUCCUUUGUUCAAUAGUAGUCAUGUCCUAACUUUAAAAAUGUAGCUGAAGUAAGAAUAACUAUAGUCUAUUGGUAAAUGUCUUUUUUUUUCUCUCUAGGGGAGAAAAAAGGAUGUUUACUAAUUUCUGUAGUGUAAAUUCUACCCCCCUACCCCCGUGACCAUUUGAAACUAGCAAUAUGAUGUCACUUAACCUUGAGGUUGGAGAAAGAUGCAUAUAAUAGUCUCCUGAAUCAGUAUGAGCUGGCUCCAGCCCACAGCAGGAUACAUAUUUAAAAGCUGCAAUAAUUUCACUCACUGCCACUGUGAAGUCUGUGAGAUAGUAGUGGGCUUGAUAGUAGCUACUGGCUGGAUGAUCUUUUGGAAUGCCAAUAAAUAUUUUUUUAAAGAAAUAAUUUUUUUUAAAGUAUGUAAAUGUAAUGCUCUAUGUAAAGCCCUUAGCUCAGUGUUUGGUUAAAAUACAUACUCAGUAAAUAGAAGCUAUUAUCCUCUUAGUUUAAGUUACUAUACACAUUGAAAUUAAAUGUUUAGCUAUAGACUCAAUCCAGUUUAAUGCCUUCGUGUUAAUAAGGCCUUGUAACAUGGAAGCAACACAAAUAAAGGAAUUUUAUGUAGCUAUUCAUGAUUCUGCCCAGCUCAAGGUUAAGAUAGCAACAAAAUACUUCAACCAGAAUAAAAGAAAUCUCCACUUGACUGUAGCUCUCCAUAACACUUCGCCAGGGUCAAGCUGUGUUAUUUUCUUUCAGUGUUAAACAGAAAGCAUCUUAGGAGCAUAGUUCAAUUAUUGAUUGAAUAGUGGGUUCUAUUUGACUGUAAUUCUAACAAAUAUACUUCAAUGAGUUCAUGACCAGAGAUGGGCCAACAGAAGGGUAAAGGUUUCACUCAAGCUUUAAGGCAAAUGAUCAGACUGAGUUAAUAACAGGGAUAUCUUCUAUUUUUCUGAGAAUAAUACCAUCCCAUCCCAGUUGGAUAAAACUAGUAAAACAACAGGCAAAAUAUUGAUGAUGAGUAACCAGACACCAAAGGGAACAUCAGUAUGAAAAAAACUAGUGAAAAAAAAUUAUAUAGACCUUGAAAGAGAUCAAUACACAGCUUAAGUUUACUCAGUAUUUCAGAGAAAAGGGUAAUAUAUACUAUUUUAAAUACUAUAAAAUUGUUUUUUUUUUAAAUUGUUUACCUCCAGUAUCCUCUGCUCAUUCUCUUCAAUCCAUAGAGUUUUCUACACUUCUGUAAAAGGUAUGACUUAGUGUUUGGUCUGUGAUAUAAGGUAAGAAGGAGAUUAUUCCUUUUAACUUUCUAGCUCAUCUUAAUCUUUUUUUCUUUAUGUUUCUAUUAGCACAUAAGUCAAAUAUAUUGGUUUUUGUGGUGGUUAUCCUGCUCUGCUUCUUGACAGCCCUUUGCUCUAGAAGACUCAUUUUGACAAUGGAAUACCUCAAACCCACCCCUGGUCAGAAUUCCUCUCACCCCCCAAAUAUUACUGAAUAAAGUAAAUUUUCUG
rnacentral:lncRNA from 1 species